AGAGUUUGAUCCUGGCUCAGGAUGAACGCUGGCGGCGUGCCUAAUACAUGCAAGUCGAGCGGUAAGGCUCCUGCAGAUUAUUUAAGUGGUAAGCGUAAAAACUUACACCAUCUCCCGGCUAGGAGAAGGGUGCUUGAAUGAUGUGCUGGAGUACACGAGCGGCGGACGGGUGAGUAACGCGUAAGAAUGUACCCCAAAGUGAGGGAUAAGCACCAGAAAUGGUGUCUAAUACCGCAUAUGCUCUUCGGAGUAAAGCUACGGCGCUUUGGGAACAGCUUGCGUAUGAUUAGCCAGUUGGUAGGGUAAUGGCCUACCAAGGCGACGAUCAUUAGCUGGUCUGAGAGGAUGAUCAGCCACACUGGGACUGAGACACGGCCCAGACUCCUACGGGAGGCAGCAGUAGGGAAUUUUCCACAAUGGGGGCAACCCUGAUGGAGCAACGCCGCGUGCAGGAUGAAGGCCUUCGGGUUGUAAACUGCUUUUGUCUGUGACGAAUAUGACGGUAGCAGACGAAUA
rnacentral:rRNA from 1 species